rnacentral:rRNA from 1 species
AUGCGGUAUUUUCCCUUAAAGCCAAGGCUGCAAAGGAUGUUCAUGUGCCACAAAACUGCUGAAUCCUUUAGGUGGCAUGCGGAGGGCAGGGUAGAUGAUGGUGUCAUUAGAUGCCCUGCUGACUCGAAAGCUUGGAAAUAUUUUGAUGCAAAAAACAUCCCAUUUGCAAAAGAAAUUCGCAAUAUUAGGUUUUGUCUCUCUUCUGAUGGUUUCCAACCAUAUAAAACAAUGCGAACAUCUCAUAGCAUCUGGCCCGUAUUCCUUGUUCCCAUAAAUUUGCCGCCAUGGAUGUGCAUGAAACAAGAAAAUGUUGAUGUUGUCCAUGUUGAUUCCAGGGCCUGA